rnacentral:rRNA from 1 species
AUGCAUUCUCGUGUUUCCUACAAGAACAUGUCGGCAAACCAUGUACUGAAUAACCUUUAUCCUCUUUUGCAGUACUUUAGCACACACUUUUCUAAGAGAAGUCUCUUCCCGCACAUGGAUGCUGAUGAUGAGCUACCAAUCAGUGCAGGAGACGGGACCAUCAGUGUCAUGGCCCUCUUUAUCAUGGGCAUCGACAACAGGGCUACACUCACAAAGAACUGGAGCAGCUUCUUCCAUAAGGCAAACAUGAAGAAAGGAUGUGCAUAUGCUUUCGCCUUCAAGUGCGCGUCCAAGGGCCUCUGCAUGGUUGUCUAUCCAAUCUAA